rnacentral:rRNA from 1 species
AGAGUUUGAUCAUGGCUCAGAUUGAACGCUGGCGGUAUGCUUAACACAUGCAAGUCGAACGGAAACGAUACUAGCUUGCUAGUAGGCGUCGAGUGGCGGACGGGUGAGUAACGCGUAGGAAUCUGCCUGAUAGUGGGGGAUAGCCCGAAGAAAUUCGGAUUAAUACCGCAUAAUCUAUUCGUAGUAAAGUGAGGGACUUUCGAGCCUCACGCUAUCAGAUGAGCCUGCGUAAGAUUAGCUAGUUGGUAGGGUAAAAGCCUACCAAGGCAACGAUCUUUAGCUGGUCUGAGAGGAUGAUCAGCCACAUCGGGACUGAGACACGGCCCGAACUCCUACGGGAGGCAGCAGUGGGGAAUAUUGGACAAUGGGGGCAACCCUGAUCCAGCAAUACCGCGUGUGUGAAGAAGGCCUGAGGGUUGUAAAGCACUUUCAAUUGUGAAGAAAAG